CCAACGGUCCUUUUAAGGGCCACUCACUCCUAAUUGAAAGAGCAA
rfam:Oreochromis niloticus linkage group LG10, whole genome shotgun sequence.